GAAGUCGUAACAAGGUUUCCGUAGGUG
rnacentral:rRNA from 1 species